rnacentral:piRNA from 1 species
UAGGGUGACCGAGUAAGAAAACCUGCUGUCU